CAAGCCCAGAUUAACAUGCUAAAAGCUCUUUCUUGAUUUUAUGGCUGGUGGUGCAUGCCCAUUCUUAGUUGGUGGAGUGAUUUAUCUGGUUAAUUCUGUUAUCGAUCGAGUGUCUCCCACGUUCGAUCGUACUCAUAAUCGCACCAGUUCUCUAAGGUGAAUAGUCUCUGGUCGAUGAAACAAUAUAGGUAAAGGAAGUUGACAGAAUAGAUCCAUAACCU
rnacentral:lncRNA from 1 species